rnacentral:rRNA from 1 species
CUGGCGGCGUGCCUAACACAUGCAAGUCGAGCGAGGAGAUUCCUCGGGAUGAUCCUAGCGGCGGACGGGUGAGUAACACGUGGGCAACCUGCCUCAUAGAGAGGAAUAGCCUUCCGAAAGGGAGAUUAAUACCUCAUAACAUUGCAGUUUCGCAUGAAACAGCAAUUAAAGGAGCAAUCCGCUAUGAGAUGGGCCCGCGGCGCAUUAGCUAGUUGGUGAGGUAACGGCUCACCAAGGCGACGAUGCGUAGCCGACCUGAGAGGGUGAUCGGCCACAUUGGGACUGAGACACGGCCCAGACUCCUACGGGAGGCAGCAGUGGGGAAUAUUGCACAAUGGGGGAAACCCUGAUGCAGCCAACGCCGCGUGAGUGAUGACGGCCUUCGGGUUGUAAAGCUCUGUCUUCAGGGACGAUAAUGACGGUACCUGAGGAGGAAGCCACGGCUAACUACGUGCCAGCAGCUGC